UAUUGAUAUAGCCGAUAAUAAUAAUGAUAAUGACAAUGAUAAUUAUCAUUAUCAUUGUCAUUGUCAUUAUUAUUAUUAUUAUUA
rnacentral:miRNA from 1 species